rnacentral:rRNA from 1 species
AUGUCGUCUGACGACGGAAUUUUUUUUAUUAUGUGUGAAUACUGUGAAGACCAGCGCGGCCAGUGCAACAGAAAUGUCCUUGUUGAUGAUAGGCGAUUCAGCAUCAAGCUGGAUGAGACCUUCGAAUUCUAUACACGCAUCCCCUGCCAUGCAAGAAUUUUUGUCUUGGAUAAGAUAGGUUUCAAUGAUAUGGAAACUAUGGAGGUAAAGAGAGUUUACCUGAAAACUGAGCAUGGUUAUACUUUGAACGUCAAAGUAUACAAUGCACACACGUACACCUAUUUUGAAUGCAAAACUUGGCAAGCACUAUGCAAGGCUUAUGCAUUUGAGCCCGGUAUGGUUAUCACCUUUGAUAUUCGUCUAGAAGAUGAUAUUGAAGGUAAUAGAGACAUAUGA